ACCUCAAUAUGGCACCUUAAUGGUAUUAUUCAAGUAUUGCAAGAUAUCAAUGUUGAAGUAACCCUUCAUACAACUUAACUGUUUGAGAUAUUUGAUGGGUUAGAUUUACAUAUAGUUUAAGGGAAUGUAACAAAUGCAUCACUGAAUUGUUUGGCAUGACUCACUUAGGCCCCGUUUGUUUUGAAGGAAAUUUUUUUAUCAGAAAAUGAUUUUCCCAUUUCCUUUUGAUUGUUUUGUUAAGUGGUGGAAAACAUUUUUGUUUUGUAGAGAAGGAAUGCGACAUUUUCUUCUCUACUCCAUUACAUUUCUUUUUUCACCUCCCACAAAUCCUUUCCUUUCCACUUCCAUUUCCUUUUUGUCCAUAACUUUUCUUCCAAGGAAACCUAGAAAAUUCUGUUUUCCCUUGAAAAUUAUGUUAACAUUACCGUUGAAACAAACGGAGCCUUAGCCUUAACUUUUUAGGAGGCUUGGUGACUUCCAUUUCUUUGUACUUGUGCAGCUUUGGGACAGGGGAAUGAUGUAGGGUCGUGCAAUGGGAGAUGCUGGAUCAGUACAUUCUGCUGCAAUGAUUCAAAAUGUUCAAAAUAUUGUCAUCUAAUUUGAUACUUGCCUUAAAUCAAGCUUGUCAAAUCAGAUGAAACUACUAAAAUUGUCAUACAAAGUAUCUCAGCACCUCGAUCUUGAUAGGGCAUCAGUAGCUACAUUCUCCUUCCCGCACUUGUACAGAAUCUCGAUCAUAACCAGGUCUAGUUGUAACAUAUUGUAUUUACUGUUGGGAAUAUAAUGCAUUCGGAGGUUUUUAUAAGUUUGGGCCCAGUCCGGUUAAGUGGCCCAGUGGGCUAGUAGGACUUAAACCCAUCUUGUUUUGUUUCCUUUUCUUGUGAAACAUAUAAAUACUCCCUAUUAUUCUUUUCCUAGUACAAGAUAUAUUCAGAUUCACGGGGAGACAGAAAACCCUAAAUACAAACCCUAAUAUCUCCAUUCGAGAUCUGAGCAGUUCUUGAGCAAUUCCAACCUUUGAGUUCGGGUUGUAGAAUUCAGAGGUGUUGUGUUAACCUUGGGGGGCGUUCGUCACUAUAAGCCUGCACCGGUAGGGUGGCGAAAUUCGCUUCUAAGGCAGUGGCCUCCAUACCACGAUGCAAUGCUAUUCUUAUGAGAUCUACAAUCAAGUAAUAUCAUUUCCUUGUAUAUUAUUAUUUCUGAUAUCAACAGUUAUUUUACCUACAUUUACCAGUGUCUGAAACUCUUGAAAGUAUCUUCAUCCUGUGAUUUCUCAAUAUAAUGCCUAUCUUCAUAUUCAGGCUUCAUAGGCCCUUGUUGUUUA